rnacentral:rRNA from 1 species
UUGGUUCUGGCAUCGAUGAAGAACGCAGCGAAAUGCGAUAAGUAGUGUGAAUUGCAGAAUUCAGUGAAUCAUCGAAUCUUUGAACGCACAUUGCGCCCUUUGGUAUUCCAAAGGGCAUGCCUGUUCGAGCGUCAUUUGUACCCUCAAGCUUUGCUUGGUGUUGGGCGUCUUGUCUCCCUUUGCGGGGAGACUCGCCUUAAAGUCAUUGGCAGCCGGCCUACUGGUUUCGGAGCGCAGCACAAGUCGCGCUCUCUUCCAGCACCAAGGUCUAGCAUCCA